UACGUAGGGUGCGAGCGUUGUCCGGAAUUAUUGGGCGUAAAGAGCUUGUAGGCGGUUUGUCGCGUCUGCUGUGAAAAUCCGGGGCUCAACCCCGGACUUGCAGUGGGUACGGGCAGGCUAGGGUGUGGUAGGGGAGACUGGAAUUCCUGGUGUAGCGGUGAAAUGCGCAGAUAUCAGGAGGAACACCGAUGGCGAAGGCAGGUCUCUGGGCCACUACUGACGCUGAGAAGCGAAAGCAUGGGGAGCGAACAGG
rnacentral:rRNA from 1 species